AUGCAUGAUAUUGUAGAAGAAAUUGAUGUUACAAUUAAGCUUGCAAAUAGAGAUAAUAUUUCACCAGUUGGUAUUGUUAGGGAUGUUGAAGUCUUGUGUGGAAAGGUUAAGUAUCCUAUUGAUUUUCUUGUUCUUGGUUCCCCACAAGAUGACUUUUGUCCCAUUAUAUUUGGUAGACCCUUCUUGAAUAUUGUUAAUGCUAAUAUAGACUACGGAAAAGAUAUGGUUACUGUUGGUUUACGAGAUAUGUCUCAUGAUUUUAAUUUUGCUAAAUUUCAUAGACAACCCCAUUAUAAAGAACUGCCUAGUAAAGAUGAA
rnacentral:rRNA from 1 species